rnacentral:rRNA from 1 species
GACCUCAGAUCAGGCGGGACUACCCGCUGAACUUAAGCAUAUCAAUAAGCGGAGGAAGAGAAACUAACAAGGAUUCCCCUAGUAACUGCGAGUGAAGCGGGAAAAGCUCAAAUUUAAAAUCUGGCGGUCUUCCGGCCGUCCGAGUUGUAGUCUAGAGAAGUGCCUUCCGCGCUGGACCGUGUACAAGUCUCCUGGAACGGAGCGUCGUAGAGGGUGAGAAUCCCGUCUUUGACACGGACCGCCAGUGCUAUGUGAUGUGCUCUCUAAGAGUCGAGUUGUUUGGGAAUGCAGCUCAAAAUGGGUGGUGAAUUCCAUCUAAAGCUAAAUAUUGGCGAGAGACCGAUAGCGAACAAGUACCGUGAGGGAAAGAUGAAAAGCACUUUGGAAAGAGAGUUAAACAGUACGUGAAAUUGUUGAAAGGGAAACGCUUGAAGUCAGUCGCGUCCGCCGGGACUCAGCCUUGCAAUCUUGCCUGGUGUACUUUCCGGUGGACGGGUCAGCAUCAAUUUUGACCGUCGGACAAGGGCGGGGGAAAUGUGGCACCCUCGGGUGUGUUAUAGUCCUCCGCCGCAUACGUCGGUUGGGAUUGAGGAACUCAGCACGCCUUCACAGGUCGGGGCUUUGCCCACGUUAUCGUGCUCAGGAUGCUGGCGUAAUGGCUUUAAACGACCCGUCUUGAAACACGGACCAAGGAGUCUAACAUGCCCGCGAGUGUUUGGGUGGAAAACCCGUGCGCGUAAUGAAAGUGAAAGUUGGGACCUCUGUCGUGGAGGGCACCGACGCCCGGACCAGACCUUCUGUGACGGAUCCGCGGUAGAGCGUGUAUGUUGGGACCCGAAAGAUGGUGAACUAUGCCUGAAUAGGGUGAAGCCAGAGGAAACUCUGGUGGAGGCUCGUAGCGAUUCUGACGUGCAAAUCGAUCGUCAAAUUUGGGUAUAGGGGCGAAAGACUAAUCGAACCAUCUAGUAGCUGGUUCCUGCCGAAGUUUCCCUCACGGUAGCAGAAACUCGUAUCAGAUUUAUGUGGUAAAGCGAAUGAUUAGAGGCCUUGGGGUUGAAACAACCUUAACCUAUUCUCAAACUUUAAAUAUGUAAGAACAAGCCGUCGCUCGAUUGGACCGCUUGGCGAUUGAGAGUUUCUAGHGGGGCCHUUUUBGUDHDCAGAACUGGCGAUGCGGGAUGAACCGAACGCGGGGUUAAGGUGCCGGAAUACACGCUCAUCAGACACCACAAAAGGUGUUAGUUCAUCUAKACAGCAGGACGGUGGCCAUGGAAGUCGGAAUCCSCUAAAGAGUGUGUAAAAACUCACCUGCCGARUGAACUAGCCCUGAAAAUGGAUGGSGCUCAAGCGUGUUACCCAUACCCCGCCGUCAGCGUUKAAGUGACGCGCUGACGAGUAAGCAGGCGUGGGGGUCGGUGAAAAARCCUUGGSAGCGAUGCUGGGUGA